CCGCACGAGCGCAACCCCUAUCUUUAGUUGCCAUCAGUUCGGCUGGGCACUCUAUGGAGACUGCCACCUAAAGUGGAGGAAGGUGGGGAUGACGUCAAGUCAGCAUGGCCCUUACGUCCGGGGCUACACACGUGCUACAAUGGCCGGUACAAAGGGUUGCGAAGCCGUGAGGUGGAGCGAAUCUCAAAAAGCCGGCCUCAGUUCGGAUUGGAGGCUGCAACUCGCCUCCAUGAAGUCGGAAUCGCUAGUAACCGCAGAUCAGCUACGUUGCGGUGAAUACGUUCCCGGCCUU
rnacentral:rRNA from 1 species